rnacentral:lncRNA from 1 species
UUUUUUUUGUUUUUUUUGUUUGUUUGUUUUGCUUUUUAGGGUUGCACUCACAGCAUAUGGACGUUCCAAGGCUAGGAGCUGAAUUGGAGCUGUAGCUGCCACCUACACCACAGCCACAGCCACACAGCAUCCUCAUGGAUACUAGUUGGGUUCAUUUCCGCUGAGCCACAAAGGGAACUCCAGAACUUCAAGCACUUUUAACUGCUUUAUUUCUCUUGGUUUAAAAACCAAGGGAAAUUGAACCCAGAGGAACUGACUUUGCUGCCACUGUCCAAGAGGCAGCAGCAACAGCCAAUCAGACCUGGAUGCUCGGCCCUGGACCUGCAUUUUAAUCCCCAAACGCUACUUCUUCCCCGUAAUGACAGUCACCUUCCCCUUAAUUAAAAUUCCCUUACAAAUGUAGACAUUCCGCUUUUACUAAUAAUUACUUGGAGAGGAUUUUUAGCAAUCAGCACUACAUAAAUAUCCGUACCUCCUCGAAGACCCUAAGAAUUGCAGUGCUCUCCCUUCCUCUAAUUUAUUAUUUAUAUCCUGCCGCGGAUAGACAUAGCUCUUUGUGGCAAUUAAGAUGGGCCUUCCAGUCUCCUCUCGCGGAAUGAGGCUGGAGACAAGCAUUACCGCUUCGAUCACAAUUACUAUUAAUUGGAGAGCUCUCCCUUCUCUAUAAAAUAUGUACCACUCGAAAGUGCGAUCAACUGCCCAAGGAAUAUGAACUCCGUGUCGGGAGACGUAUUGUGAGGGCUUAGGAUUUAACAAGGCAUUUACCCUAUAAUUACUGGGAGGAAUCCUUGAAUGGAGCAGGGAUGACAUGCUCCCAUCAGCUGGGGUUUAGGCUCCGAGCUAAUUCUCCCACGAUGCAACGAACUCGGGGGGCGACCGCAAAUGGCAAGACACAUUGCACUGGUGCUUUGGUUCUGAAUACACUCAGAGGACCAGCAGGGAUUCUUGGCUCAGGAAACCCCUAGGCCCAGCUCCGAAGGACCAAACUCCCCCCGAGUCACCAUUUCGUUCAUUUAUUUUUUUAAGUCCCGUGCCUGCUCUAAUGCCAGACGUUGAUUCUGAAUCCAGAUCCUGGGUCUCCAAGACAGACGUGACGUCCUCCCAGCCCUAGGGAAGCAGAUCCUCUUCCGGGGGCAAUGCCGGGUCUGAUGACGCGCGGCCGACAGCGUGAAAGGAGCCAUUCCAGAGAGGACUCUUGGCCACAAAAGGAAAGAAAGAAAGAGAGAGAGAGAGGGAGGGAGGAAGGAAGGAGGAGCCAUCUGCCUGCGGAAGUUACUUAAAUUCCUGCAAGGAAAGCAGAAGGUGUUCCGGGAAAAUGCCCAAUGAGGCAAGGGUCUUUUCAAAGGCUGGGGUAUUAAAGCACGUUUAGAAUUGUGAGAAGGUCCACCUGGGUGGAUGGGGAGGUUGGUUUGUGCGCAGAGUGUGACUCAGCCCUUUAUCAAACUCCAUCAAGAAGAUUCACCUUCUCUCUCACUCGUAUUGAUUUGAAUCACCUCUAUGCUGUGAUUCCAGGCAGUGACCAGACGGGCCUCUCCAUCAGAAUUUUCAGAGCGAAAUGCGAGGGAGCGCAUCUGUCCUCUCCAGGACCACUACCACUGGCUCUGUAUCAUUUGUGACACGGUGGUGCCUCCUGGGAAUUCGUGACUUGCUUUACCUUCAGAGGCAGCAAACCAAUUCAGAUGUUCGUGACCAGAAUCAUGCUUAUGCCAGACGAAGGGGAGUCAGCAGAACAAGGGACUGGCCUUUUGGCAGAAGGCUUUGUACCCAGACAAGCCAAGGUGCGAGUUAACUUCACUGCACCCUAACUGUGUGAACUUGGGCGAGACUUUUCAAUUCUGAGACUCUGUUUCCGUAUUUGAAAAAUGGAGACAAUGAGAACGAGCAUCCCUUUACAACGGCGCGCCUCGGAAAACCCUGGAAGACUUCGUGUCAUUUGCACCCCUAGCACGGUAACAACUGUAAUUAUGCGUCUUUGAUCACGUUUUCCCCAAAGGAGAGUUUCACUGGAAUCACUUCAGGGUCGUCAAAAAACACGUGUGCCGGGGACCCCCACUACAGAAAUUAUGAUUUCUUAGUUCUGGGUACAAGGAAGAGGGCACAGCCAAGGGUGAAAUACACACCAUUAAAAAGAGAAUGUUAAACACAGAUGUUGAUUACGUAAACCGAAAUGUCACUUGUUUCUCCCUCAGAAAUGCUCACACACUCUUGUAAUUAAGAGGAGUUUUAUUUAAACACAAUGCUAUCGCAUCCUCCUUUUUUGGACAUAAUAAGCAAUGGCAUUAUUCUAAAAUGUAAUCUAAAGUCUGGUACCAAGCCCCUAGUUUGUACAGCAAAACCAAACCUCCCUGUCUAGAGGACAAAAUCUGGAAACCCUAGUCCACAGGCAAUGUUCCCGCUGCCCAUUUUAAGGGAGAGGUGUGUAGCCACACAGGAAGUUCAUGGGUUUGUUAGGUGUCUGUUGAGAAUACAAAGAUUCUGAAGCACCAGGGAGAGAAGCCCAUCCUGACCACCAAAGACAGUAGCCUUCUUGAUAAAGUAAGGGAAGUGCAUAAUCAAGCUGAUGCUUAAUGAUUUAUCAGUGGAUGGCUGCUAUCAAUCGCCAUGACGUAACUCAUUCCGUUUAACCUGGAAACAGGUCUGCGAGGGAGCUGCUGCUUCCCACUUUACACACGAACAAACUGAGGUUCUGAGCACAGAGGCAAUCUGCCGAGGGUCAUACAGCCGCUAUGUGUGAAAAUGGAAGCAUUUCUUGCUCUUGAGCUCAAGCCCACCAGGACUGCACUUGGUUUAAUUAGAUUUUCUCCAAGCUGCAACGGAAUGAGUGGGAGGAGAGUGUGGACCUCUUUGAAAAGUCGGCCUCUGCAAGGUCAGCGAUGCUACAAUCUCAGUUCCCCGAAUACCCCCUCUAAUCCUUUUGGGAACAAUCCCUGCUGGGGUCAGAGGAGAGGAUAGCGCUUUCUGAAAUUACAAAUGAAGACCAACAAUCAAGCAUAACACAAAGAAUGUUUAUUUCUCAGGCUUACAGAGACUGAUGGGAAUAGAUGGCUCACCUUCUUAAUGUACUGAGCACACGGAACACGGUGCCUUCAAGGUCACUGUGGCAGAAAAAGAGAAAUCGAGAUAGAGACUCUGGAAGCCUGGCAGCAGGCUGCUGUUACCAACUUCAUUCUGAAGGAGCCUGGGAAGCCCCCCAGCAUGCCCAGGAGGAGGAACUGGGAGCCACACACAGAGCACUCAGUCUGUCACAGGAGCUGUUCUCCCUGGGCCCUAGGAAGCCUCUUAUCUCACGAAUCCCAAAUUCCUAUGUCUUAUGACCUGUGGUCUUUCUAUCAAAAGCCACAUCAAACCACACCAACCAGUGCUCACAAAGGUUUAAAAAAAAAAAUCNAACUAUAUCAGCUUCCCAGAGCUGCUAUAACAAAGUAUCACCAACUGGGUGGCUUAAACAGACACGAACUACACUGUCACACAGUCAGCUUAGACCCCAGCCCUCCUCCUCCUGCAGUAUCUAUCUUUAGGAGAGGAGAAAACAGACUGGAAGGAAGCCUAGGUUAUAUCCAUGUGACGUAAAUACAAAAGUUUAAAAAAAAAAAAUCCCUUCUUCAUACAUCCUGGCUAUUUUGCCUGUGGAUUUAUGUCAUGAAAAAGCACUGUUUCAGAAUUUCAAAAACGCAUAUCUAGAUUACUGGCCCUUACUACCUUCCAUACCUGACAUUCAUUCGAUUGACUUAGAAAGACUGGAGGCUCAUUUCUGACCCUCUGCUCUCCGAACGGAUCCUCCAUUCUGGAUGGUCCAUUUCGUAUCACCCAGCGGUCUGCCAAAGUUUACAAGUUGGAACUUUUACUGGGCAUUUUUGCCCAUCACAUCGAGGUUCUUGGCUCUCCUUGCGCUACUUACCGAGUGGCCUCAGGCAUGUGGCCAGACCCCAGUUCAGUGUCUUUCUGGGUAAAACAAAAAGGCUUUUCAUGCUCCAGACCCACAGCAAACAUUAGAAAACUCCUUCUGGAUUUUGCUUGAUGCUAUAAGGGAGGCUGUGUGCGUCUAACUCAGAUAGGGACUUUCGAAAAAGUAGGAAGAUUUUAUACAAACUCAGGUAAGAUGAGCAGGUACGAGGGAUAGAAACAAAUGUGUAACACGUAGGUAUUUCCUAGGAUCCAUGAGGUCAUGGAUUAUAAUAAUAAUAACCGCUAAAGAAUGCUAACUUGAAAAUCUGAAUAAAAUAAGGUGAACUAAAACAAAAUAAACUCUGGGAGUAAGCAACUGACUUUCUGACAAUGAAGAAAAAAAAAAAAAAUGCACCCCUGCCAGGUUUCUGUGCCCUGAGUCAGGGGCUGGAAGCAGCGAUGGCAACUUCCAGGAAGCCUGCUUCUCUCUUUGAACUGUCAACUGUUUGUCUUUGGGAGACAAACAGGGGCUUCUCCAACUUGUCAGCUGCCUUCAGUGCAUUCUCACCUUUAAUAGGACUGAACAAGCCACUCAGCAGGCCCACCUCCUACCUGGAGGAUUCCUGUCUCAGGGGACACCGCCCAUGGCCUGGUAACACAAAAUGCCCCUUGGCACUAUCCUGGGACUGCAUUUGAGCUACCCUGACAGUGAAAUUUGCAUACAUCACCAGGCGGCUGCAUCCACACCCAUACUUGCCUCUGGGCCCUGGAGUCUACAAUGGGCUCCUGAGCCUGGGUGUUGCCUGGCUGGAAGGAGGCCCUACAGAGAGUCUGCUCCUAGGAGGUGAUGGUGUGAAGGGCCUGAGAUUAAAAAUGACAGGCAGUGUUGAAAUGCACAUUUACCACUGAACAGGAAGUCUUCACUGCUGGAAGUUUACCUCCCGAUAUUCUGCAGCUCUCUCUGCCACACCGCUUGGUGUACGGCUAGGGUGCCGACUCCACUCAAGGUAGACUUGGUCAAAGGUACUCUUAUUCCAAAGUGGACAAGGAAAGAGGGAACCGGGGUGGGCGCCCGCCCCUCAGGGAACCUUUUGCCCUAUUAACAACAGCCCAGUUGGGGCCCUGAUGCUUUUCCAAGUUGAGGGGACACAUGCAUACACAGAGCACACGACAGCCAUUCUAAUGUGAAGAGCCAAGACCAGAUAUGCCCAAGAACACACCUACCCACGUGCACACAAGCACACGGAACACGCCCAACUCUGCAAGCGUCUACGCAUGGGUGCUUGUAAGGUAGUGGUGCAGGUGCUUACACACGAGGAACAGCAGGAAGUGGUGUUGAGACGGCUGUGUGGACACCUGAAUAGGGCGCUUUGGGCACCAGUGUUUGCCUCCCUAUGACAGGUGACUUCAAGCGUCCAAUUCAGAAGCAGAGAACAGAAUGGUAGUCGCCUGGAGCUUGGGGGAGAGGUAAGUUUGACGCAAGAUCAAGGAUUUCUGGAGCUCUGCUACACAGCACAGUGUCCACAGCUAGCGAUACUGCACUUACUAUGUUCUAAGAGGGAAGAUCAAAGGUUAAGUGUUCAUACAGUAACAAUAAUAUGACAAUAACACUAAUAAACAGAGUGGGAGAAAACUUUGGGAAGUGACGGCUAUGUCCAUGGCCUUGACGGCGGUGGUCAGGGGUUCGGAGGGGUACAUUCUUCCCCACACUCACUCAGUUGUAUACGUGAACCAUGUACGGGGGUUUUUUAAGACGCUAAUCAUGCCUAUGUUCUAUCUUCUGUAGUGUGAGCAAGAAAAGAAAAGAAAUGGAAAGUUGUUAAGGCCCCCGGAAACAACCACUCAGGCUAGCGACAUCAUCAUCGCAUCGCCAGCAUCGUCAUCACCAAUAUCAGCGUCAUCCUUUCAUCCUCAUCAACGUAUCAGCAUCAUCGGCAUCGUCACCCACGUCAUCAGCAUCAUCAUCAUCCCCUGUCCUCAGUCUCCAGCUGAGGACACCAGUGAGUGAGCCCAUCUUUGAGAAUUUGUUCUCAUGCCCCUUCCUCUCCAAGAGGAACUGCAAAUUGCCUCGGACAGACUGAGAAACUGCCCGGACAGGUAGAGUCGCCGCAGAGUCAGAGUCAAGCCUGUCGGCACAUCCAGCUUAAAUACACAACAGCAACACCAUCCCAAGUGCAAGGAAGCACAGUCUCAGCCUGUAUCUGCAAAGCGAGCUUAGUGAUUCUAAAGCUUCUUUACAGCCACCUGGAAUCCAGGAAUGAGAUUCUUAUUACACGGACAUUAUAAAGCCGCCUUACAGCUGAACAUGCAAGAUAAAGAGGCCUCCACCCUCAUAAGGGGAACACUCCAGCGAGGGAGGCAGGUCUGCAAAGAGACCAGGAGAGUGUGUGGGCGGGUGCUUGCAGGACUUAAACACACAUAAUUAUGAGAACCCGGGAAAGGGGACACGCUAAUCACUGAGGGACGGGUGGCAGGAGACUCCCUGAAGAGGGGUUUCCAGAAGCAGGGAGAGCACAGCUGGGUCUGAGGAUCUGGAUGGUCGGGGAUGAGCAGGUGGGGGAGGCGUCCCUGGAGCUCCUGGGUGUGGCCGCAGCUCAGGGCUCGCAGACAAGGCUGCUGGAGAUGAACCUGGGAGGCAGGCUGGGGAAAGCCUGUGCUUUCACAGCUCCCGCCCGCUUGAUCAGGGGCUAUGGCCAAGUCACCAAAACGGAAGGUCGCCUUCAAAGGGAUCCACUGCUAGGCUAUCUUCAGAGCUCAGCUUGCCCCAAGAAGCUCUCCCUGACGCUCUGCGUGGAUAAGCAAUGAGGCCCUGCUGUAUAGCACUGGGAACCAGAUCUACUCAUUUAUGAUGGAAGACAAUGUGAGAAAAAAUAUAUAUAUAAUGUAUGUGUGACUGCGUCAGUUUGCUGUACAGUAGAAGUUGACAGAACACUGUAAACCCACUAUAAUGGAAAAAAUAAAAAUCAUUUUUAAAAAUAAAAUGGCACACUGCUGUAGAGAGGAAGGUAUAUCUAAUGCACUUACUGCCAUUUUUUUUUUUUUUUUUUUUUUUUUAUCAUCAACGUCUGAAAGUGCAACUCAACACAGAAACUGGGCGCCUUGGCAGUGUCGGUAGGAGCCCAGCCCCUUCCUCCUGAGCGGCAGCUGGUGGCCUCAUCAGGAGGGUCAUUUGGAGCCAGCUCCCUGGGCACCUAGAUGGGACAUAGGAGCCUGCUUCCCUCCCACCACAGAGCAGGGGACAGGCCUGCUCCUACAAUUGUGGCCUUCACAAUUGUGAAUUCAAGAAACCCAGUUACAUA